GUGUCAGCCGCCGCGGUAAGACGAGGUGCACAAACGUUAUUCGGAAUUACUGGGCUUAAAGCGUGCGUAGGCGGCUUAGCAAGUCGGGUGUGAAAGCCCUCGGCUCAACCGAGGAAUUGCGCCCGAAACUGCUGAGCUUGAGUGAGACAGAGGUGAGCGGAACUGAUGGUGGAGCGGUGAAAUGCGUUGAUAUCAUCAGGAACACCGGUGGCGAAGGCGGCUCACUGGGUCUCUACUGACGCUGAGGUACGAAAGCCAGGGUAGCGAACGGGAUUAGAUACCCCGGUAGUCCUGGCCUUAAACGAUGAGCACUAGCCCGAAGAUCUGCACAGGUUUUUGGGCGUAGCGAAAGUGUUAAGUGCUCCGCCUGGGGAGUAUGGUCGCAAGGCUGAA
rnacentral:rRNA from 1 species